rnacentral:tRNA from 1 species
AAGGGAGAAGUAUAUUGUGGAUGUGCGUCUAGCUUGAAACUAGAAAGAGGGGGUUCAAGUCCUCCGUCUCUU